rnacentral:rRNA from 1 species
GACGAACGCUGGCGGCGUGCUUAACACAUGCAAGUCGAACGGAAAGGCCCUGCUUUUGUGGGGUGCUCGAGUGGCGAACGGGUGAGUAACACGUGAGUAACCUGCCCUUGACUUUGGGAUAACUUCAGGAAACUGGGGCUAAUACCGGAUAGGAGCUCCUGCUGCAUGGUGGGGGUUGGAAAGUUUCGGCGGUUGGGGAUGGACUCGCGGCUUAUCAGCUUGUUGGUGGGGUAGUGGCUUACCAAGGCUUUGACGGGUAGCCGGCCUGAGAGGGUGACCGGCCACAAUGGGACUGAGAUACGGCCCAGACGCCGACGGGAGGCAGCAGGGGGGAAUAUUGCACAAUGGGCGGAAGCCUGAUGCAGCAACGCCGCGUGCGGGAUGACGGCCUUCGGGGUGUAAACCGCUUUCGCCUGUGACGAAGCGUGAGUGACGGUAAUGGGUAAAGAAGCACCGGAUAACUACGUG